GAUGAACGCUGGCGGCGUGCCUAAUACAUGCAAGUCGAGCGAACGGAUGAGAAGCUUGCUUCUCUGACGUUAGCGGCGGACGGGUGAGUAACACGUGGAUAACCUACCUAUAAGACUGGGAUAACUUCGGGAAACCGUAGCUAAUACCGGAUAAUAUUUUGAACCGCAUGGUUCAAUAGUGAAAGACGGUUUUGCUGUCACUUAUAGAUGGAUCCGCGCUGCAUUAGCUAGUUGGUAAGGUAACGGCUUACCAAGGCAACGAUGCAUAGCCGACCUGAGAGGGUGAUCGGCCACACUGGAACUGAGACACGGUCCAGACUCCUACGGGAGGCAGCAGUAGGGAAUCUUCCGCAAUGGGCGAAAGCCUGACGGAGCAACGCCGCGUGAGUGAUGAAGGUCUUCGGAUCGUAAAACUCUGUUAUUAGGGAAGAACAUAUGUGUAAGUAACUGUGCACGUCUUGACGGUACCUAAUCAGAAAGCCACGGCUAACUACGUG
rnacentral:rRNA from 1 species